rnacentral:snRNA from 1 species
GUGCUCACUUCGGCAGCACAUAUACUAAAACUGGAAUGAUACAGAGAAAAUUAGCAUGUCCCCUGUGCAAGGAUGACAUGCAAAUGUGUAAAGCAUUCCGUAUUUUU